rnacentral:rRNA from 1 species
GACGUAGGGCGCGAGCGUUGUCCGGAUUUAUUGGGCGUAAAGAGCUUGUAGGCGGUUUGUCGCGUCUGCCGUGAAAUUUCGGGGCCUCAACCCCGAACUUGCGGUGGGUACGGGCAGACUAGAGUGUGGUAGGGGAGACUGGAAUUCCUGGUGUAGCGGUGAAAUGCGUAGAUAUCUGGAGGAACACCGGUGGCGAAGGCGGCAUCCUGGACCGAGAUUGACGCUGAGGCGCGAAAGCCAGGGGAGCAAACGGG